GUUUAGGACUAGAAACUUGGCACUGGAUUCCAAAGAACAACAUGGGAUUUUUCUUUCUCUUCCCUCUCUCGCUUAUAAAUGAGGGCACAGCUGGGUUCUGUGAUAAAAUGCCCAACUCCACCUGCUCUAGAUGUUGCAAAGGUAAGUUUGGGCUCCUAUAAUUCUGCUCUGUGACACACCUGCUUCUGCAGCUCCUUCCUGGGGUGGGGAGUGGGGUGGGGACACCUGAUCAUAGGGUGAGCAAGCGGCUCACCAGGACCGAGGGGGUUUCAGGGAGGUGGGACUUUCAGUGCUAAAACCCAGAAUGUGCUGGCCCAACCAGGAUAAGUUGAUCACCCUCCCUGAGAGUUUGGGAUUCUAUGAGGACUCCUGUCUAGAGUGCAGCGCCACUGCGAGGGUGGUCCUUUAUUGUCAGAAACCUCAUUCCCAGAAGGAGACAUGCAGUGGAAACUGAGCGUCCUCUGCCCUGCGGUGCCCAGCUCCAUUCAAGAAAGCACACCUGUGGAUGAGAGGCGCAAUUAACGUUAUCAGUCGUGAAGGAUCAGAAGGAAAACCCAGUGGCCGUUGGGAAUUAUGGGGAGAACUGGACCCUAUGGGAAAUCAUACGGAUCUGAAAUUCACCCCGGAAACUGACCUGGGGUGAGGACAACAGGUGGAAUGAAACCCCAAGCAGACCCUAUAGAGGCAAGGAAGGAGAUUGAGACCCUUCUGCAGAAAGCUGUUAUGAGCCUAGAAUUUUAACUUAUGCUAUUGACACCAUGCCAAGCACCCAAGGAAAAGGAAAGAGAAGAACCUACACCGCCUCCUCCUUGCUAGUGAGUGAGGUAAAAUGAUCUGGGGAGGAAAAAAAACAAAAAAAAUGAGGUGAGAAACACCAGAUGGAGCAGAGAGACUGCCCAGAAAUUGCUGCUUUUGUCAACCUAGAUUUGUUUGCAGCAAUAGAGACCCCAAUUUUUAGUGGUAUAUGACUACCCAACUUCUCCAUGCUGCUAAGUGUGAUCCUGUGGCCAAGUUCAGCCAAUGGCAUUGAAGUACACGCGUCAAGUGGCAGCUUCUAGGAAUCUUCACUAAAGCGAACGCUGUGCACACUCUGACUUUCUUCAUUAUCUCUUCCACCUGUCUGUUGUUGAUGGACAUGAUGGCUGGAGCUGGAGCUGCCACCUUAGACCAUGAGGUGACACUGGGAAUGGAGACAUGUAUGGUGGACCAACAAGACAGAAGGAAUCCAGGUCCAUAAUGCUUCCUAGAGCAGAGCCCCACACCCAUCCUGGACCACCUGCCUCUGAGGUUUUAUGGGAGAAAGAAACAAAUUAGCAUCUUAUUUAAGCUGCUGUUACUUGGGCAGGGGCGGCCACUAUUACUUGGCAGCUGAACCUAAUCCUGACUGAUACAGUUGGGUCCUUUCCCUGGCUCAUACCAAGUGAUCCUUAAAUGUGUGUUGAAUUGGAUUAUGCCUGUGGUGUUGCAUCCAAUUUCACAAGUUUCCAUAGUUGGACUUCAGGGUUAGGCGUUCUGUCUCUGAAGAGCAGAGGGGCAGGUGCCUCUCCUUCAAUCCAUGUCCCUGUGCAAGUAGUGGUGAGUUUGUGACUCAGAAUAAAAACCCCUCUAGCCCUUUGAGCACAACGGAGCCUGUUACUGAAGGCCUGUGCGGUAGUUUGUUCUAUUUGCAGUAGAAUGAGGGUGGGUAAGAGGGACGAAGAGAAAGAAGUAGAGAAAAAGCAAAGCAGUUCUCUGUGCCAUUCCACUUUCUCUCCCAAUCUCCCAGGAAUAGGGAUACUAUUUCUUUUUUUAAUAUAGUGCUUUUUUUUUGUAGAAAUACAGGGUCUCACUAGGUUGCCCAGACUAGAUUCAAACUCCCGGGUUCAAGUGAUCCUCCUGCCUCAGCCUCCCAAGUAGCUGGGACUACAGGCAUGCUCCACCAUGCCUGGUGCAGAGUUGCUAUUUCUUGAAUACAGUUUAUAUCCAUGAUUACCAAUCCUGCAGGCCAGAGAACAUUUACCCUGCUUUGUACACAGUGUUCUACGGUUUGCUCAAGGCUCACAGCUAUGGAACCACAGAGCCAGGAUUGGAGUCCACGUCUGCUGGGCUUCAAAACCUGAGCUCUCCUCAAACCCACAUAUUAUACAUCUCCCCCAAAACCUAUCCAUCUUGCUGUUUGGAAAAACUUGUAAUCCCAGGCCUGCAAUCAAGUUGUUCUGAGUUGCUGUGACAGCAGGAGCCCACCACAAUCCAGGACACACAAGGUGGCGGAGAGGAUGGGCUUCCAAAUGCUGGGAUAUCAAAGUACAAAUCCCUGCUCUCCGGCUCAGCAUUUGUGUGACUUUGGGUACAUUCCUCGGCCUCUCCAUAUUCAUUUCUUCAUCUGCAAGCAGUAAGAACACCCAUCUCAAGGGUUUUCCAUGAAGGCUAAGUUUUAACCAAUGUGAUAACUUAUAUAAAGUGUCUGGCAAAAGAAGGAGCUUGUAUUAGUCCAUUCUCACGCUGCUAUAAGGACAUAUCCAAGACUGGGUAAUAUAUAAAGGAAAGAGGUUUCAUUGACUCACAGUUCCACAGGGCUGGGGAGGCCUCAGGAAACUGACAAUCAUGGUGGAAGGGGAGGCAAACACGUCCUUCUUCAUAUGGUGGCAGCAAGGAGAAGUGCAGAGCGAGGCAGGGAAAGGCCCCUUUUAAAACCGUCAGAUCUCAUGAGAACUCACUCACUGUCAUGAGAAUAGUAUGGGGGGAAUCACCCCCAUGAUUCAAUU
rnacentral:lncRNA from 10 species